GGACCUUACAAAGGGUGUGGGGAAGAGGUAGCUGCAGACAGAUGUUGGAAGAGAUCUGCAAAUGUGCUUUUAUCUCUCGACUCUGCAUUUGUGAUGUGAACUGUUGUGAUAGCUGUCAAUACACUGAAUGGAAAUUAAGCUCAGCUUAAAUGCAUCUGUUCUUGGACUGUGGAAUAUGUGACUUUAGUGGCAGUGGAAGAAUUGCUGGUUUGUCACAGCUGCAGCCUGGUAGUCGGCUCUUUGUGUGGUCCUGUGAGAGAAGCUUUGCAAUGUGCCUCCACAGCUGUGCUGUGGUGAGUGGGUGAAGGUGAAUACAGGGGACAUCAUUCUUUCUGUGCUGGUCCAUGCUGAAUAGCGAUGUGGGGGGAGGCUACAAGUCAUAGGUUCAAAGGCCAAAUUGUUCCCACUGGGCUGAAGAAAGGGUAAAAAAAGACACAACAAUUGUUCACUUUCAGGUUCCAUAUAAAAGACAGAAGCAACUAAACUAAUGAAUUAUUCAUUCUUGCAUUCUGUGCUAUGCUGAUAACUGUACUUGAGCAAUAAGCUGUACAUUUUCCCAUAGUUAAGAAAUGUAACACUUUUCCUAUCUUGGCUUUGUUACUAAAGCUAAUGCUGAACCAAAUGGAAACUACCUUAUGAUGGCUUUAGUGCUACAGAAAAAAAACUAAGUAGCAUUUCAUCUUGUGGUGAUUACAUUUUAUUUGUAUUGUGUGAGUGUGUGCAAUACAAAUGUGCAUUUGUGCAAAUAUUUGGUACUCUCAUAUCUUGAAGGAACAUCUAAAUGAAUAUAGGGCUCUUUAUUCAAACCA